GUAAGGGCAGAUCGGGGGGUCCUUGGUGAGCUCUCUGGGGACCGUAGGCACAGAUCCUGGUUAAAUAAUGUCAGCUCCACCGCCUGUCCCCCGACUUGCUGUCGCUAACACGUGCUGAUGCCAGCUCCAGUUACAGUACAAAGGCCCUGCAGGUCUGCCCUGGAAGAAGGGAAAAAGGGCAACCUGGCGUGUCUUGAAUGUGUAGCAAAAAGCAGGCUUAAGAGCUGGAAGCAGAUGACCAGAAGCUUCACGGCCAUUCGUUCAAUCAUCAGCAAACUGCAGAGUCCCUACCAGGUACCAGCACUGAUGCCCAAGACACAGUCCCUCCCUCACAGAGCUGAACAGAGUGGGGGAGAUGGACGCUUGACACAUUGAGAAAUAAUAAGAUGUUUCCAGCCAAGAAAACAAGAUGAAAUCACAGGUGAGAGAGUGACAAAGGGGGGGUGGGCAUAUGUCGCACAGGGCAUGCCAGGAAACCGUUCCAAGCAGGUGACACGUGAGAGGGGACCUGAAUGAGAAGGAGCAGCCAAAUGAACCAUGCAGAGAAGAGUAUCCAGAAGACAGGAACAGCCAGUGCAAAGGCUCAGAGUCUACCUCAUCUGAAGUCUAAAGCAUUCGCCAAUAAGAAUUGUUCUCAUCCACUCGGGAUGCUUCUUGGCUUCGUGAGGACGAAGGUGCAGCCUCUCACUGCAGUAAGACCUUCUAAGAUCUCUUUCCUCUUCUGGAAAGCAGGGCGGUGAGGGGUGCAGGGAGCUCCAUGGGGCCUCCUCUCAGGUUAGCUCCUCCACUGGCCUGACACCCAGGUCCUGUCGUGCCCUAAAUCCACAGAGCCGGAGGCUUCCUUUCACGUCGCCUGGGUCCGUGUUUCCCAAACGUCGGCAUUCACACCCCAGCCCCGUGCUGCAGACCUCACCUCACUGGCCCGGGCAGGAAGACCCUCAUUCCUUGUGAGCACUGUGAAACAAUCCACCACAUCAAGCGUGAGCCGAAUCAGCCCCUCAGGAUGCUCCGGAGGACUCACGUGCGCAUUCACUCCUCCACUGGGAUUCACAAGGAGCUGGGAUGUGUUGGAUCCUGUUCAAGUCACCGGAGACGAAGCAGAGAACGAACAAGGAGCCUGCCCUGGAGGAGCUUCCGUUCCCCUGGGGAAACAGAUGACGCACCAGCGAACCAAUGAAGGGGUCACAGCCAAGGUUGGAUACAGCCUCCGUGCUGUCCGAGACACGGGAACAGGGCUCCACAAGUGGUUCCAGAUGCCGCGGGCCCCAUGCAGAGAGGUUGCUGGAAACCAGAUGCCUCCAGGAAGCCACGGGCCAUGCUGCCCCCAGCACCACCCCUGAGUCCCACGGAGAAGGCUGCUGAGGAAUUCGGCCCCAGGCCAGGCAGGGUGUGCCUGGGACUCCAGCCCCUCCAUUCCCUGAUGACAAAAUCUUCUUCGACUGCUCAAGACGCCUUGGCAGAGGCUGCGCGUGCAGGCGCCAGUCUAUUCAAGUUUUGCGUUCUUAUGUAAAAAUCCAGAUCUCAGGCUGCCUUUGUGGAGACCACGCACGUGGCAACAUCAGGCUGGCAUCCUUGGGUAGUGACUGUACACACUACC
ensembl:lncRNA